rnacentral:tRNA from 1 species
GCCGCGGUGGUGAAAUUGGUAUACACGCAGGACUUAAAAUUCUGUUCCCGCAAGGGAGUGAGGGUCCGAGCCCCUCCCGCGGCA